UCUGCUUUCUGUCCCCAACUAGGGAUGGGCUGGCCAAGUGAGGUAAACCAGCAGGCCGGUGUGUCUUGCAAUUUAUUGAGCAGUGCUAGAAAUGGACUGAAGAGUGAGAUCGUUUCCCUCUAGUGGAGCAAACAUGGGUGAAACACUGAUUUAUCAGGGUGAAAGAAGCAAGUUAAGUGCCUUCUCCAGUCCUAUGAUACAGUGAGGAGAAAGAGGAGACCCCCACCACCCAAUGACAGAAGUUAGCCACCAGUUUCCAGAUACUACCAUGAUGCCAACCGGACUUCCUUGGGCAGACGACCCCACCAAUGUGUCCUGGAGCCCCACUUCCCCAAGACCCC